CCUACGGGGGGCAGCAGUGAGGGAUAUUGGUCAAUGGGGGAAACCCUGAACCAGCAACGCCGCGUGAGGGAAGACGGUUUUCGGAUUGUAAACCUCUGUCCUCUGUGAAGAUAAUGACGGUAGCAGAGGAGGAAGCUCCGGCUAACUCCGUGCCAGCAGCCGCGGUAAUACGGAGGAUGCGAGCGUUAUCCGGAUUUAUUGGGUUUAAAGGGUGCGUAGGCGGAAUGCCAAGUCAGCGGUAAAAUCGCGGGGCUCAACCUCGCUCCGCCGUUGAAACUGGCGUUCUUGAGUGGGCGAGAAGUAUGCGGAAUGCGUGGUGUAGCGGUGAAAUGCAUAGAUAUCACGCAGAACUCCGAUUGCGAAGGCAGCAUACCGGCGCCCAACUGACGCUGAAGCACGAAAGCGUGGGUAUCGAACAGGAUUAGAUACCCGGGUAGUC
rnacentral:rRNA from 1 species